CGGGGUGAGUAACGCGUGAGUAACCUGCCUUACACAAGGGGAUAGCCGUUGGAAACGACGAAUAAUACCCUAUGAAACUAUCACUUCGCAUGAAGCGAUAGUCAAAGUGUUAGCGGUGUAAGAUGGACUUGCGUCUGAUUAGCUAGUUGGUGAGAAAAAAGCCCACCAAGGCAACGAUCAGUAGCCGGCUUGAGAGAGUGUACGGCCACAUUGGGACUGAGACACGGCCCAG
rnacentral:rRNA from 1 species